rnacentral:rRNA from 1 species
UACGAAGGGUGCAAGCGUUACUCGGAAUUACUGGGCGUAAAGCGUGCGUAGGUGGUUUGUUAAGUCUGAUGUGAAAGCCCUGGGCUCAACCUGGGAACGGCAUUGGAAACUGGCUUACUAGAGUGCGGUAGAGGGGUGUGGAAUUCCCGGUGUAGCAGUGAAAUGCGUAGAUAUCGGGAGGAACAUCUGUGGCGAAGGCGACACCCUGGACCAGCACUGACACUGAGGCACGAAAUCGUGGGGAGCAAACAGG